rnacentral:rRNA from 1 species
CCUACGGGAUGCAGCAGUGGGGGAUAUUGCACAAUGGGGGAAACCCUGAUGCAGCGACGCCGCGUGGGUGAAGAAGCGCCUCGGCGCGUAAAGCCCUGUCAGCAGGGAAGAAAAUGACGGUACCUGAAGAAGAAGCCCCGGCUAACUACGUGCCAGCAGCCGCGGUAAUACGUCGGGGGCAAGCGUUAUCCGGAUUUACUGGGUGUAAAGGGGGCGCAGACGGCGAUGCAAGCCAGGAGUGAAAGCCCGGGGCCCAACCCCGGGACUGCUCUUGGAACUGCGUGGCUAGAGUGCAGGAGGGGCAGGCGGAAUUCCGGGUGUAGCGGUGAAAUGCGUAGAUAUCAGGAGGAACACCGGUGGCGAAGGCGGCCUGCUGGACUGCAACUGACGUUGAGGCCCGAAAGCGUGGGGAGCAAACAGGAUUAGAUACCCGAGUAGUC